rnacentral:rRNA from 1 species
GACGAACGCUGGCGGCGUGCCUAAUACAUGCAAGUAGAACGCUGAAGAGAGGAGCUUGCUCUUCUUGGAUGAGAUGCGAACGGGUGAGUAACGCGUAGGUAACCUGCCUUGUAGCGGGGGAUAACUAUUGGAAACGAUAGCUAAUACCGCAUAACAAUGGAUGACACAUGUCAUUUAUUUGAAAGGGGCAAUUGCUCCACUACAAGAUGGACCUGCGUUGUAUUAGCUAGUAGGUGAGGUAAUGGCUCACCUAGGCGACGAUACAUAGCCGACCUGAGAGGGUGAUCGGCCACACUGGGACUGAGACACGGCCCAGACUCCUACGGGAGGCAGCAGUAGGGAAUCUUCGGCAAUGGGGGCAACCCUGACCGAGCAACGCCGCGUGAGUGAAGAAGGUUUUCGGAUCGUAAAGCUCUGUUGUAAGUCAAGAACGGGUGUGAGAGUGGAAAGUUCACACUGUGACGGUAGCUUACCAGAAAGGGACGGCUAACUACGUG